UACGAAGGGGGCUAGCGUUGCUCGGAAUCACUGGGCGUAAAGCGCACGUAGGCGGAUUGCUAAGUCAGGGGUGAAAUCCUGGAGCUCAACUCCAGAACUGCCCUUGAUACUGGCGGUCUCGAGUCCGGGAGAGGUGAGUGGAACUGCGAGUGUAGAGGUGAAAUUCGUAGAUAUUCGCAAGAACACCAGUGGCGAAGGCGGUUCACUGGCCCGGUACUGACGCUGAGGUGCGAAAGCGUGGGGAGCAAACAGG
rnacentral:rRNA from 1 species